UCUUAGGUGGGACCCACGAAAUAUGCGGUCCACAUUAAACUUCAACCCCUAAUGAUGAAUGGCUCACAUCCAAAAUGAUGAAUGACUCACAUCCAAGGUAAGCCCCACAUGAUAGACAACCCACAUUAUAGGUAGGAGCCACAUGACGGAUGGUCCACAUCAAAGGUGGGUUUCAUAAGAUGGGCAACGAACAUUGAGGGUGGGCUCCAUAUGAUGGAUGACCCACAUCAAGGUGGGCCUCCCAUAAUGGACGGUCCACAUUAAAGGUUGGCCCCACUAAUGAUAAAUGACCCACAUCCAAGGUGGGCUACACAUGAUGGAUGACCCACUUCAAAGGUAGGGUCCACACGAUUGAUGGUUCACCCCAAAGGUGAGCUCCACAUGAUGGGUAGUGGACAUUGAAAGUGGGCCCCACAUGAUGGAUAAUUAACAUUGAUGGUGGGCCCACAUGAUGAAUGACCUACAUUAAGGUGGGCCCAAUGUAACGGACGUUCCCCAUCAAAGGUUGGCCCUUAACGUGAAUGGCCCACAUACAAGGCGAGCCUUGAAUGAUGGACAACCCACAUUAAAAAUAAGACUCACACAAUUGACGGUCCACAUCAAAGGUGGGCUCCACAAGAUGGGUGGUGGACAAUGAAGGUAGGCCCCACAUGAUGGAUGACCCACAUUAAGGUGGGCUUCACAUAAUGGAUGGUCCAUAUCAACGGUUAGCCCCUAAUGAUAAAUGAUCAACAUCGAAGACGGGUCCCGUAUGAUGGACUACCCACUUUGAAGGUGGGCCCCACAUGAUGGGCAAUCACGUUGAUGGUGGACCCCACAUGAUGGAUGACCCACAUUUAGGUGGGCAUCAUGUAAUAGACAAUCCACAUCAAAGAUUGGCCCCUAAUGAUGAAUGAGCCACAUCCAAGGUAGGCCCUACAUAAUAGAUGAUCCACAUUAAAGGUGGGCUUCACAUGAUGGGCAGUCAAUAUUAAAGGUGGGCCCCAUGUGAUAGAUGACCCAUAUCAAGUUAGGCCUCACAUGAGGACAGUUCACAUCGUAGGUUGGCCCCAACUAAUGAAAGACCCACAUCCAAGGCGAGUCAUCCAUGUAAAGGUGGGCUCAACAUGAUGGGUGGUGGAUAUUGAAGUUGGGCCUCAUAUGAUGGAAAAUAACAUUAAUGGUGGGCCCCACAUGAUAGAUGAUCCACAUCAAGGUAAGCUCCACACGAGGGCGUAGAAGGUCGGCCUCUAAUGAUAUAAUGAUUCACAUCCAAGAUGGGCUUAGCAUAAUGGGCGGCUCACUUCAAAGUUGGGCCCUACACGAUGAAUGAUCCAUAUCCAAGGUGGGCCCCACAUGAUGGAUAAAACACAUCGAAGGUGGACUUCACAAGGUGAAUGGUCCACAUUGAAGGUAGGCCCCAUAUAUAUGAUGAAUGAUUCACAUUGAAGACAGGGCCAAGGUGGGCCCAACAUAUAUAAAUGGUACACAUCAAAGAUUGGCACCACAUGAUGGGCAACGGAUAUUAAGUGUGUACCAAGCAAACUAUUUAUGUGAUGUGGGUAAGGCUAAUAAUUACAUUAUUUAUCAAACAUACUUAACUGCUAAAUAAGUAGAAACCAAAAUAAAUUACUUUUAAGAUAUAAAAAGCUUAAUGCAAAGUAAUAUACAAUCCAAAUAAGCCGAAGUCAUGAACCCAAAAUCAAAUAUUGUAAAUAAUUUUAACCUCUUAUUCUUAGGCACUUGUUUGCUGGAACAAGACCAUCAAAAUUUCCUGUUUUUGUUUUAACCAUCUAAUUAAUGUCCAGUCAUCCAUCAACCCUGUAAUCAGAUAAUCAAAUAAUCUUAGUUUUUGGUUAAUAAUACAUCCCAGCACUGACAGUUUAAUUUGAAAGACUUGUAUGGCAAUGUAUGCAAUUUCUAAGUAGUUUCUAAGUGCCUACCUCUCAUCAACCACCACAGGAGCAUUAACUGCCUUGUCUUGACUAAAGGUGUGGCUUUGAGCGAGACAACACAUAUCCCACCAAUUUCUAAGAAAUUUCUUAGUAAUUUGUUUUCUCCACACGUGAUUGAAGAUUUACUUGCUCCACACACCAUUUGUACAUGAGGCUGGGUUUGUACAAGUGGACCCAUGUUCCAAUGAUCCAAACCUUUUGUCCAUUCACCAAAAAUCUCCCAGAUUAGAAAGUCUAAAAAUUUCAAUUAGUGUCUACUGAAUCAGUUAUAGAAAAAAAAGAAAAAAAAGAACAUCAAUGGUCCACACUCAACCAAAAAGCACACAGAAUAUUCGAUGGCUAAAAUUUUCCAAUCUAGGGGAUACAUAGUGAAGGGUCCAUCUGAUAUACAGUUUGGAUCAUUGAACCAUAGGUCCCACUUGUACAAACUUAGAACCCAGGUGCAUGGUACAAACCUUGACCUUGGAUCAUUCUAUAAUAAUACCUCUUGAGAGCUUACUCCUUUUUAUUAAUUAAGUGUUCUUUCAGCGAGAAAGAAGAGUCCCAAAGAAGAAAAGGUGGAGAAUUUGUUGUAUGUUUUCUUUAUGAGUUUUUAGAAUAUCAUUUCCAUUUUUAGUGAUUUCCUUAAACAUUUUUUUUUGCUUUGUAUGUUACAUGGCAGUUGAAGCUUUGAGACAUCCUGGCCGUUGAAAUGAUGCAGAGGAUCAGAAAGUGGACAUGCUAUUGGAUGACCAGGACCAGGAAAUACCGUCAUGCCUGGCUUGUUAGCACCUUCAUCACAGGUGUGGUUAUCAGUAGCAGCCUAGCUGAGUAUGCAAUUGUAGGGAGCUUGAUGACGUUCAUUACUGACGAGCUUCAGAUCAAUAGCUUGGUAAUUGCAGCAGCAAUCAUAAACAUGAAAGAGGGAUUCACAUCUUUCAUGGCCAUCAUCGGAUCCUUCAUCGCAGAUGCUUAUCUCAGCCGUUACUUUGUGGUCCUUAUGUCCGUGGCCCUUUAUUUCUACGUAAGUUCGCUUCUCCUAUAAACCAUCUCAUAAAUGAUUUUAACUGUG